ACUUUGGUUUACCAAUACUUUUAUUUUGAGAGUUUUCCACAUCUGGAAUGGUUCUCUUGUUUCAUAGUAAGAGAAAGAAGAGCACCCAUUACAGAGUAGCCAGAGGGAUGAGAAAGAUGUGCACAGUGAGGAGUUUGAAAUCUCUUUCUCCUGUUCAUUUGUAAGCUGUCACUGAUAACUGCUAUUGCAAAGUCUUAUAGUAUGGUUCUUUGUUGCUAAAGAAGGAAGCCGUGAUGGAAUGGUCAUUCAUUUUGGUUAAUUCUCAAACUGGGAAAGAAUUUUCUAGGCUCCCUGUUAUGUCAGAAGCAUGUGGGUUUACGCACCUUAUGGAACGUGGAAAUUGUUUUCUGAAAGUGCCUAUUUUGCUCUCUUCAGUAUACGGUAAGCUUAGGAAUACUGCCUUCCUAAUUUAGCACAUGCAGGUUAACUUCUGGCAUCUUUGCGAUUAACCACUUUAAAUCUGUGACCUGGUGGCAGCUUGUGAGGCCACAGGCUGGUGCAGAGGGCACUCAACUGUUUUGUAAGCAUCACAGCAAUCUGAAUCUGGUCUGUUUAAAUUUCAAAUGAUCAUGUUUUGGGUUUUUUUUCUGAUAGGAAAAAAAAAUAUUCUGAAAUUUUUGAGCUAACAGGUGGCAUGAGCUGUAAUCAUGAAUACAUUUUACCUGUUGUAUUAAUUCCUUAGAAGGGAAAGGUUCUUUCUCACAUUGACUUUGAAGUCUCAAAUCAGAUUCAGUCAUUAAAAAAGAAAAAAAUUGCUAUGUCUAUAUUCUGAAUAGUAAUCAGUUCUCGCUAACUAGUACUUAAGGUCAUGUUUUAACCUGUUAAAAUUAUAUUAUCAAAACCAUUAUUUUUAAGGUCUGUCUGAAGAGCCUAGCCUUUUGACUGUUUUGCUCUGGGCAAAAGUGAAAUGUUGCAUUCUUCAAAUCCACUUGCUAUGACUUGAACAGUGGAUCACUCUUCAAGCAGAAGAAAUUUUUUGAGCUUAUCUUCAGGGGACUGACCAUUUCAGUAGUCCCUUUACACAGAUGGAUACCUGUGUUAAUGGUGAUAUUAAUUUUUCGACCGCAGGAGAAGACUAUCCUUAUUUUCUCAAUGUCUUUCUUACACCAGAACAUCUAUGACACCCAUGUGCACACUUUAAUCACAAGUUAAGAGCGUAAGUAAGAGUGUUCUUUUCUCAGGGAUUGGAUCCAAGCUCUGAAGAAGCAUGACUCUUUUGAAGACCUAAAUAGAAUUUGACAUCUAACCUGAGUUCUGUAAAAACCUACCUUACAAACUGCAGUUAAUACCCCACACAAGCAACUGGAUAAACCAGAACAGGCUUACUAAAUUAAAAAAAAAAUAAAAAAAAUUAGAAAGAUUAAAAAUAUGCAAGAUGUCAAAAUUUUAUUUUCAGAGGCAGACAUUUUUUACUAAGAAUCGAUGAGUUCUGGAAACAUAGAUGAAACAACUUUUUGGUUAGGUUAAGCACUUUAAGGCAAUAUAGAUAGGACUGUGAAUCAUUUACAUAGUGCAAAUAUUUUUUUCAGGCUAAUCCCAGGUUUUUAUUUUUUCUUUAAGAACUGAUCAGUUAUUCCACUGAAUUAUGCCAAAGUUCUUCUUAAUCCAGCAUUUCCUUAACUUUUCCUCAUAUUACACCCACCUUGUCCCAUUCAGAUCAGUGGUGUUGCCUAAAGAGAGACUGCAGAGAAAAAGAGGCCAAGAUAAGAUAAAGAGAGUAGGUCCUUUAAUCAGCCUACAGGCCCAGGGAAUACACAUAAUGCAUACGUGUCCAUACAGUGGUUAUAUGAUUUUAUAAUAAGGUCCAUCCAAUCCCAGAUCUGUCCACCCCCAGUUCUGCCCCCUGACACGCCCCUUUGGGAAUUGGGUCUGGGGGCGUUUGGGACCCCUUCUUCCUCAUCUUUUUCUUCUUUGCAGCAUGUAUAGUCCUUGGAGCUCCUCCAGAGUUCUGGGCUUGAAGGUCACUGUCUGUGUGAUACCUUCUGGUCCAGGCCUAGAGUGCUUUUCUACAGUUCUAUCUUGAAAAGAAGACUAAACAUGCUAACGGAAUUUAGAGGGAUUGAUAUGAAAUGGCGUAAUAAGGUUGGGUGUGUGUAACUAUUAUGCUUCAGGGUAAGGGAUAUAAUACAGCUACAUUAAAAUCUACAUUUACUCCACAACUACUUCUAAAAUCUACAAAAGUUAAAAAAUCCAAAAAGCUCUGAGGCAUCAGUCCCCCCUUUAGGGAUGGACAAAACUCAAUCUUAUCCAAUCUCUACCACUUAUACCUAGCAUUAUACCAAAGGGAUGACCAACACCUACAGCAUUAGGUCAUAUAAUGAGCUAUUACACAAACACUAAUUAUGUAUGUCACUAAUAGAAACAGUUGUUUUAUCCAGGUCCAGUUGGUAACUAUGAAGUAAGUUUAUAGAUGUUAUCUCUGUAAACCUAAUGAGACAUUCUCAGGAAUCAUCCAGUGGAGAAUUUAAACUUGUUGCCAAAUUUCAGCCAUAGUGCAAAUCCAGCACUCACUUUCAUGAAAAAUAUUGGAUGCAUUUUUACUAAAAUCAAAUGUAAAUUUUGGUUUUAAACGCGAUCCAUACUUAUCAGUGGUAUUAGACAAUACACACAGAAAAAUAGUUUAAACAUAAUUUUAACAGUUUGUAACAGAGGCUUUCUUCCCUCUGGGUAGCAAAUCCAGGGUUCUUUGCCAACAGCUCUGACCAUGAUGGAGAUGGUCAGCAGAACUUGAAACAGUUCUUUCCAUUUGACUUGCAGGGGUUUCAAUCCCACUGUUUAGCUGGACAGUUUGUGUUUAUAGUUUGUGGGCUGGAACAGAUGAACAGGAUUGUCCAGUCCCAGAGGUCUAGAUGACAUGAUGAUUCCCUGCAGUUUCUGCAAAGCAGAGUCUAAACCAUUCAACAAUUCUGCAGAUUAACCUUCCCUUAUGUGAGUAGGGAUCACGUUGUUUUUCCACCUUGGAUUGUAUGUGGAUCUUUUAAAAAGGCCAUAUGCAGGACCUGAACCGACAUCAUAGAUGUUUCUUGACAAACCCUGUUUGUUUGUGCUUUGUGAGCCGAUGAAGUGUGACUCUCUGUCCGAUGACAAUCUCACAGGAAACCCAAA